GAAGAACGAACCAUACCAUUGACACUUGUUUCAUCAAGCAUGGUUAUCCACCAGGCUUUAAGCAUAGAAGCAAGGGGAAUGUUUCUGGUCCUCAGCAAUCUGCAACCAUCAACAAUGCCUCCGACAACUCUGCAAGUUCGACAUCAGAUUCAGCAUCAGGUGUUUCUGCUAAUGCUUCAUAUGGAUUAACUCAAGAGCAAUACAACAAUAUUCUUGCACUGCUUCAACAUUCAAAAAUCCCCUCAACAACCAACUCCGUCUCCACAUCUCCCCUUGUGCUAAAC
rnacentral:lncRNA from 1 species